UAGUCCAAGGGUGAGGGACAACCCGGGGAAACCUGGGCUAAUACCGCAUGAUGUCACACUUCCGCAUGGUCGUGUGAUCAAAGAGGGCCUCUGCUUGCAAGCUCUCGCCCAUGGAGGGGGUCGCGACGUAUCAGCUUGUUGGUGGGGUAAUGGCCUACCAAGACUACGACGCGUAGCGGAUCUGAGAGGAUGAUCCGUCACAUUGGGACUGAGAUACGGCCCAG
rnacentral:rRNA from 1 species